rnacentral:lncRNA from 1 species
GCAAAUCAUUUCCCAACAACAACAUUAUAUUAUAUAGUUUUAUUAUUUUUUCAACAACAUUACAUAUAAUUCCUUCCUGCUGGCUGCAUGCCCCCUUGGCCUAGCAAAAUAUGAUGAAUAUUAAUUGUAAGGAUAAAAUAGAAACAGACAUCAUAGGAUGGUUCGAUGAAGUCGCUGAGGAUUCCGCCGCUGUACAACGGCGGACGCUUCGGCGAAUUCUCGAACUAAACCAUGGGGUGGAGUAUCUCAAGAAAUGGAUUGGAGAUAUUAAAAUUGAAGAAAUUGAUGAAAAUGUAUUGGAGUCAAUUUAUGCUUCUUUAGUCCCUCUUGCUUCUCAUGCAGAUAUUGAGCCUUUUACAAAGAGAAUUGCUGAUGGAGAUACAACUCCUCUACUCACUCAACAACCCAUUACAAAUCUGUCCUUAAGGUGAGGUUUUUUUAAAAAUUUGUCCACCUUUCCUUUGAAAUCGCGCUUUCUAUAGUGGGGUGUGUAGCUCAGUUGGAGAGUUAUCCAUACCUUCUUUCUAUAAUGGGGAGUGUAGCUCAGUUGGAGAGUUGUCCACACCUUCUUUCUAUAAUGGAGCGUUUACGUAGCUCAGUUGAAGAGUUGUCCAUACCUUCACCUUAUUGAUAAGGUGGAGCUUCCAAUAACACCAUAUCUCCCUCUACCCCUCAAAAGAAAAAAGAAGUAACAUGAAUUAGCGACGGACAUCUUUGUAGUUAAACAACAAAAUUCGUCACUAAUCUUAUUCAACGACGGAUUAUCAUGUCAAAACUGUUAGGCUAAGAGCAAUGUAGCUAAUAAAUUUAUUUAUUUUUAUAGUAUUUUUGUUCUCCUUAGUUUAUACAUGUUUACUUUAAUUGUGGAGCAUACUUUUGGGCCUUAAUUUGGCAAAUCAAAUUACUUUGUUUCUUUCACUAAUAAUUAAGUAAUAGGGACUAAGUAAUAAUGCAAUAAAAUGAGAGACCCCAGCAAUUAUUAUUUUUUCUAAAUAAAAGUUGAAGUUUGUAUUAACUUAUAUGCCUUUAAUGAUAUUUUAUUGGUUGUGGAAACAAUGUUUAGUUCUGGAACCACAGAGGGAAGACAAAAAUUUGUGCCCUUUACACAACAUAGCUCUCAAACUACUCUUCAGAUUUUCAAGUUGGCUGCAGCAUAUAGAUCAAGGUAUGAUGAAUAUACAAGCUUUGGAGAUUUUUAAGUGUUUGAUCAAGUUUUUAGUGAAAUUAAAAAUAAGUGUUUUUGGAAGCUGAAAAAGAAAUAUUUUUGGAACUUUGGUUAAGCAUAAAUUGUUGUUCUAAUAUUGGUAUAAGUGUUUGUUUUAGAGAAUUAAGUUGUUUGGUCAAGCUUUUAGGAAAAACUUAAGUAUUUUGAGUAAUAGCAGAAACUAUUUUUCAGAGCAUGAAAAGAAUAACUUUUCUCCGAAAACACUUAUGAUAUCUUGGUCAGACAUAAAUGGUUGCUGAAUUAUUUGAUUAAGCUUUUAGGCAAAACAUAAGUUUUUUGAGUAAUAGCAUAAACUAUUUUUCAGAGCGUGAAAAGAAUAACUUUUCUCCGAAAACACUUUUUGAUAUCUUGGUCAAGACAUAAAUUGUUGUUGAAUUAUUUGAUCAAGCUUUAAAGUAAAAACAUAACUAUUUUGAGUAAUAGCAUAUACUAUUUUUCAGAUCGUGAAAAUAAUAGCUUAUCUCCAUUACACUUUUGAUAUCAUGGCCAGACAUAAAUUGUUGUUGAAUUAUUUGAGCAAGCUCUUAGGUAAAAACAUAAUUUUUUUGAGUAAUAGCAGGCACUGUUUUUCAUAGCGUGAAAAUAAUAGCUUAUCUCCAUAAACACUUUUGAUAUCUUGGAUUGUUGUUGAAUUAUUUGAUCAAACUUUUAGUUUAAAACAUAAUUUUUUUAAGUAAUAGCAGACACUGCUUUUCGGAGCGCGAAAAUAAUAGCUUAUUUCCAUAAACACUUUUGAUAUCUUGGUCAGACAUAAAUUGUUAUUAAUCAUAUCGCAGACGUGUUUUUCAAAAUAAUUGCUAUAUUAAAAAUAUUAUUCCCUAAUACAGUAUUACUUUUUUUCUGCAAAGCAGAUUUUGAAAAUUUGACCAAACAAAAUCUUUUCAUCAUGAGUUAAUUAUUCUUAAAUUUUACUGAUUUUUGUCUUAAUUUUGCAUGGUGGGGUGUCACAGGAUAUAUCCAAUAAGAAGAGGAGGAAGAAUUCUUGAAUUUAUAUACAGUAGCAAACAAUGUAAAACAAAAGGAGGAAUAAUAGCAGGAACAGCCACAACACACUAUUAUGCUAGUGAUGAAUUCAAGAUUAAACAACAACAAACAAAGUCAUUCACUUGUAGCCCUGAAGAAGUUAUUUCAUGUGGAGAUUAUAAACAAUCAACAUAUUGUCACCUCCUUCUUGGCUUAUAUUUUUCACAUGAAGUUGAAUUUGUUACAUCAACUUUUGCUUAUAGCAUAGUUGAAGCAUUUAGAUCAUUUGAAGAAAUGUGGAAGGAAUUGUGCCAUGACAUUAGGGAAGGCAGUCUUAGCUCAAGAAUCAACAUAGAUAAAGUCCGAAAAUCCGUGUCAGGUAUCGUUAUUAUCUCAUCUAAAAGUUUAAACUAUUGAAGAGGGUGCAUUUUUAAUUACUUUGUUAUGUGUUGUACACGUACCCUCACGUGCCCCACUCUUUCUUCUUUGGCCUAACACGUAAAAAUUCUUUUUAAAAUAUAAUGAGUGACGUUGAGAGUUGGACAGAAGAUCAUUAAUUAGUGUGCUAUGUAUAGUAGGUUUGACAUCUUAUCUAAAAGCUUGAACUUGUUGAAGAAAGUACAUUUUUAAUUACUUCAUUAUAUAUGUCUUCAACACACCUCUUCACGUGCCACACUCUUUCUUCUUUGGAUUAGUACGUAAACAUUCUUUUUAAUAAUGAGUGGCAGUGAGACUUGAACAGAAGAUUAUUAGUCUACUCUGAUAUCAAUGUUGAAGUAUACAUGUUACUAACUCAAUUAUAAGCUUAAAUUGUUACGAAAAAAAUACAUUUUUAAUUACUUCAUUAUAUAUGUCUUCAACUCGCCCCUUACAUGCCUCACUCUUUCUUCUUUGGUCUAGCACGUGAAAAUUCUUUGAGACAAACAUAAUUAUUGUUAUAUGAAUACUGAAGUAUGUUAUUAUCUCACUUAAAAAUUUAAACUAUUACAAAAAUAAUACAUUUUUAAUUAUUUCAUUAUGUGUUCAACAGAUAUCACUCAGCCUAAUCCAGAGUUGGCUUCAAGAAUUGAAUCAAUUUGUGUGGAGCUGGAAAGGGCAGAUUGGUAUAGCAUAAUCCCAAAAUUAUGGCCAAAUGCUAAGUAUAUUUACUCAAUAAUGACAGGAUCAAUGAUGCCAUAUUUAACAAAAUUAAGACAUUAUGCAGGGGAAUUACCUCUAGUGAGUGCUGAUUAUGGAUCCACUGAAAGUUGGAUUGGAGUUAAUGUGGAUCCAUCUAAUCCACCAGAAAAAGUUAGUUUUGCAGUUAUACCAACUUUUUCUUACUUUGAGUUUAUACCCCUUUUUAGGCACAAGUUAAAUUAUAAUUACCAAAAUGGAAAUAUUACUUCAACAAAUGAUGAUUACAUAGAAGGUAAUCCUGUGCCCUUAUGUCAAGUCAAGAAUGGACAGCAAUAUGAAAUCGUCCUAACAACUUUUACAGGUACGUAAAAUAUAUUUAUUUUGUCAAUUUUGUUACUACAUGCAUAUAAAUAUCACAUAUCAGAUUCAGAAUUAAAAUUUAUGAGUUCAACAUUUAAGAUUUUUGUGUACUAGUUCAAAAUUAAAUAUUUAUGAAAUUUCGUACUUAAUUACAUACAGAAGCGGACCUACCCUUAGGGUAAGGGGUCGCAUGACUCACGUGACCCGUAAAAAAAACAUUAAUAAUAAUAAUAAUAUAUAUUAAAUAUGAGGUAUAUAUUUUGAUUAACACCCUCAUUCACAAAGAUUGAAUAAUUGGUUAUGUUGGCAUAGGGUGCACAAAUGGCAAAUAUUCAACACAACAUUAUUUUUUUAGCCAUAUACCAGUACUAGUACUUCAAUUACUUUCAAAUCAUGAGUCCGCCUCCCACCUAUGUCGUUGAACACAAAAUUGUGACUAAUUCUAUUUAACGACAUAUUAACAACUAGUUUUAUAAAUAACUAAUUCCUAUUUUAUAUUAUCAUCAUUUCUACUUUGUAUACUUCAUUGAAUUCUCUUUUAACUAUUUGAACCGCUACUUGCAGGUCUUUAUAGAUAUAGAUUAGGGGAUGUGGUAGAAGUGGAUGGUUUUUACAAUAAAACCCCUAAACUCAACUUCAUAUGCAGGAGAAACCUGAUAUUAACAGUAAACAUCGAUAAGAACACUGAAAAAGACCUCCAGUUAGUAGUGGAGAGAGGCUCAAAGAUACUAAGCAAGGGCACAAAACGAGCCGAGCUAGUAGAUUUCACGAGCCAUGCAAACGUGACAAAGCAACCCGGUCACUAUGUAAUUUAUUGGGAAAUCAAAGGGGAAAUCGAUGAAAAGGUACUCGAUGAGUGUUGUAGAGAUAUGGAUGCUUCGUUUGUAGAUCAUGGUUAUGUUGUGUCAAGAAGAACAAAAUCAAUUGGUCCAUUAGAGCUAUGCAUUGUAGAGAAAGGCACUUUCAAGAAAAUAUUGGAAUAUUACAUAGGAAAUGGGGCUGCAUUGAGUCAAUUCAAGACUCCUAGAUGCACUAGCAACAAAGUGUUACUAAAAAUCCUUAAUGUUUGCACCAUUAAGAGGUUUUAUAGCACAGCUUAUGGGUGAUAAACUAGAAUAAUGUGGUGAUUAUUCAGUUGAUAUGUAUUCGCAAUUCGUGACAUCUUAAUUUAUGUGAUAUGUUUUUAUUUUUCUUUAAAAUAUUGAAGAAUUAACCUUUUAGUUGCUGUCAACAUCUCGAUUUCAAUUGACAACUAAACACUCUAACUUUGAGGAUGUAUACUCAUUUCUAUUGUUUCAAUUGAACACUCUGGCCAACUUACAAAAUGAUCAUUUAGACACUUUCAAUAUUCAUGUGUCACGUGAUUCACGUUAACGUUGGAUAUCCACGAGACAUAGUAGAAACGAGUUAAAUAUAGUAUUUCUUUUACUACAUUGCUAUAUAAAAUUGUACGUGAUUAGAUAUAAUUUUAUAGAUUAAGCAUGUUAAAGCUUAUAAUGUUAACACAACUGUUACAUCACUAGGAGCUAAAUGUAGUAUUUUUUUUAUUCACUUUCCUUCUAAAUUUAGGUGUCCAAUUUGGUUUAAACAAAACAAUUUUUCUAGCAUAUCCAAAGUAAUUAAGUGGCUAUAAAGUCAUCCUACAGCACCUAUGUAUUGUGUAUAUAUAUAUAUAUAUAUAUAUAUAUAUAGUGGCGUACGCAGGAUUUUUUCUAAGCGGUGUCACCAUUUAAGAGAUAAGAAUGACUCAAAAAAAAAUCAAUGAACUUUUGCUUUAGGCCUCCAAAAAUUUUAGGGCCCAUUAAUAGUGAACUUUAUGAAAUAUAUUUUUCUUAAAAUUAUAAAAAUUUGAUUAAAUUAAAAAAAUUACCUACUCUUUAAAUUAGAUAAUAUUUCAAAAUUUUAAAUUAAACACUCACAUCUUCAUAUUAUUAAAUAAAAUUUUAUACUAACAUUAUUCAACAGAUUGAUUGCAAAUAAAUACGAUUGACUUUGACUAAUUGGCUUGUUCUUCCAAGUCGGUUGAAGCUUGAGUUGUUAAGAUUGACUUUGAAUGUUUAUGAUUUUUUUAGAAUAAUACCUCUGCAUUAAAUUUAGACUAAUAUGAUGUGAUCUGCACAAUUAGUAAUUGAGGAUCAAAUAAUAGACAAUUACGGACAAUUGUAAUCAAUUUAAUGAAUUCUAAAUUGUUUCACUACUGUAACAAGCCAAUAGAAAAAAAAAAUUAUUAUGAACAAACAAAAAUAAAAUUUCAAGCACGUAAUAAUUUAAAAUAGAAUAGCAAAAAAUACUUACAUAAUGCAGAGAGAUUUGAGAUGCCAAAUAACGAUGAUUGAUGAACAAGAACGAAAAGAAAAUUGAAGAAACUCACAAGUCACAUAUAUACAAAUAUAAGGAUUUAAGGAGUCAAUACUAUUUUUAUGUACUAUAAUUCUAAUGGAUAAAGGACUUACAGAUUUUGAGUUUUAUUUUAAUUCUUAAAAGAAGAAAAAAAGAGUAAGUUAGAUUUGAAUGAAUUAAAGUGGGUCUAUAAGAAAGAAAUUUAGAGACUAAUUGGCUUUCAAUGCACAUAUAGUUUUCUAGCAUUGAUUUGAUUAUAAUAUGAGUAAUCUAUUUGCUUAAAUUGAUUAUAGGCUUUAAUCUUUACUUUACUACUCUUUAACGUUUAAACCAAACAUCAACAGCAUCUUGUCUUCUUUCAAAUUUGAAUAAGAAAUUGAAGAUGCAAAUGGUGGCUAUUUCUUGGAGAGUACAACAAAAUAGAAUUUUGAGGAGAUGACCCAUUUACCAAGAAAGAUUAUCCCUUUUUAUUAACGGAGAAGGGCCUAAAAUACCCCUUAACUAUCUGAAUUGGUAUAAAUUCAUUCUCCAUCCACCUUUCGGCCUCCAAAUACUCAUGGUGUCAACCUUUUGGCUCAAAAAUACUUUUAUUUCUAACGGUCCACACUCAUAAGAUUGAUGGCAGGUAAAUUUAUACCAACUCCCAUAGUUUAACGACACUUUAGGCCCUUUUCCAUUAAAACAAUUUGAAAUUACUUAAUAUAUGGCUCAUAUAAUUGACCUGAUUUUGGAUUUCGUAAUAAAUUAAAAAAGACAAAAAUAAAUUAAUUACUUCCUUCAUCCACUUUUAUUUUUUCAUUUUUAAUUGUCAUUUUUGUUAGUAUAUCAAAGAGAAAAAUAUAUAUUUUUCAUGUUUUAGCCUUAACAAUAGUUUACCAAAUUAUUUCUUAAAACUUAAGAUUACACUAUACAUCAAUCAUUACAACAAAAGGUCGAUGUUGGACCCCAUUAUGAAUACACAUUCAUUUCUGAGAAUUCUUUUUUAUUUCUGAGAAUAAUAAUUACCUACACAAUAUAUUUUUGUCCUAAAAACAGCAAUAACUAACACGUUUCCAACCAUCUAGACUCUGUGCCCAAAGGUCUAGGCAUGAAACCUACCGUCAAUCUAUAAGAAUAUUAUGAAAUAGAAGCUAGUCAGUUUAGCCUAACCUACCUGGGCCCCAAGAUAUAGAAGUCUGAUCGUGAACUUCGCCUCCUAUUGUGAAGUUUAUCUUGUUCUCGGUCUGAAAUAAUAACACAAUACAAAACAAUCACAAAUGGUUUAUAUAUUCCCAGAUUAUAUCAUAAUACCAAAGCACAUGUCAAACUCGUGAUUUUCCCACCUAAUUAAUCCAGGAAUUUUCCACCUUUAAUUCACCUAGAACUACCAAUCUCAUGGUUACCUAGUGAAUUAUGAUAAACAAAUCAAAAUUAAUCAUUCUGAAGGUCUUACACCCAGAAAUCCUUAUUUUCCCCCCUAGGGAUGAACCUAAACCCUCCCCAAAUCGCCAUUGCUCUUCCCAAAACUGUUUCUGGACAAAAUCCAAAUCAACUUUAUUUAUGAUACUUUAACAUUGUAAAUUUGACUAAUACUAUUUAACAUAGUUAUGUAAUACUACUAAGUAAAAGUUUCAAAGUUACCUCUUUUGGCUACUGAAGAAGAAAGGCUCGAUGCAUCAACAAUUGGUUACACUAACUGUACAGGAAGCUUACGUAAUUCCUAUUUUAUGAAGAAACCUCAAAAAAAUUUGAACUCUAACCCAUUGAAUGAUAGAUCUAAGAAAGGAAACCUAAUUUAAGAUGUCAAAGUCACCUCUGAACAUGAACAUCGACAUCGAAGUUAUCUAGAUGCCCCUUUGGUUUCCUCUGUCCGUCCUUUUCAACUUUUAAAAUUUGAUUGUCUUUUCUUUUG